AGAGUUUGAUCCUGGCUCAGAACGAACGCUGGCGGCGUGCUUAACACAUGCAAGUCGAACGUGAUCCAGAGCUUGCUCUGGUGAAAGUGGCGCACGGGUGAGUAACGCGUGGAUAACCUGCCCUGGUAUCUGGGAUAACAUCUCGAAAGGGGUGCUAAUACCGGAUAAGCCUACGGGGUCCUCGGACUCUGCAGGAAAAGGUGGCCUCUAUUUAUAAGCUACCGUAUCAGGAUGGGUCCGCGUACCAUUAGCUAGUUGGUGGGGUAAUGGCCCACCAAGGCGACGAUGGUUAGCUGGUCUGAGAGGAUGAUCUGCCACACUGGAACUGAGACACGGUCCAGACUCCUACGGGAGGCAGCAGUGGGGAAUUUUGCGCAAUGGGCGAAAGCCUGACGCAGCAACGCCGCGUGAGUGAUGAAGGCUUUCGGGUCGUAAAGCUCUGUCAAUGGGAAAGAAGUGUAUUGGAGCUAAUAUCUCCGAUACUUGACGGUACCCAUAAAGGAAGCACCGGCUAACUCCGUGCCAGCCGCCGCGGUAAUUC
rnacentral:rRNA from 1 species